UACGUAGGGGGCAAGCGUUGUCCGGAAUCAUUGGGCGUAAAGAGCGUGUAGGCGGCCCGGUAAGUCCGCUGUGAAAGUCCAGGGCUCAACCCUGGGAUGCCGGUGGAUACUGUCGGGCUUGAGUCCGGAAGAGGAGUGUGGAAUUCCUGGUGUAGCGGUGAAAUGCGCAGAUAUCAGGAGGAACACCAAUGGCGAAGGCAGCACUCUGGGACGUGACUGACGCUGAGACGCGAAAGCGUGGGGAGCGAACAGG
rnacentral:rRNA from 1 species